ACAGAGGGUGCGAGCGUUAAUCGGAAUUACUGGGCGUAAAGCGAGCGUAGUCGGUUAUUUAAGUCGGGUGUGAAAGCCCCGGGCUCAACCUGGGAAUUGCAUUCGAUACUGGAUAGCUAGAGUUCGGCAGAGGGAAGCGGAAUUUCCGGUGUAGCGGUGAAAUGCGUAGAUAUCGGAAGGAACAUCAGUGGCGAAAGCGGCUUCCUGGACCAGAACUGACGAUCAGGCUCGAAAGCGUGGGUAGCGAACGGGA
rnacentral:rRNA from 1 species